UCAAAGAUUAAGCCAUGCAUGUCUAAGUAUAAGCAAUUAUACGGCGAAACUGCGAAUGGCUCAUUAUAUAAGUUAUCGUUUAUUUGAUAGUACUUUACUACUUGGAUAACCGUGGUAAUUCUAGAGCUAAUACAUGCUUAAAAUCCCGACUUCGGAAGGGAUGUAUUUAUUAGAUUAAAAACCAAUGCCCUUCGGGGCUCCUUGGUGAUUCAUGAUAACUUCUCGAAUCGCAUGGCCUUGUGCCGGCGAUGGUUCAUUCAAAUUUCUUCCCUAUCAACUUUCGAUGUUUGGGUAUUGGCCAAACAUGGUUGCAACGGGUAACGGAGGGUUAGGGCUCGACCCCGGAGAAGGAGCCUGAGAAACGGCUACUACAUCCAAGGAAGGCAGCAGGCGCGCAAAUUACCCAAUCCCGACUCGGGGAGGUAGUGACAAUAAAUACUGAUACAGGGUUCUUUUGGAUCUUGUAAUUGGAAUGAGUACAAUUUAAAUCCCUUAACGAGGAACAAUUGGAGGGCAAGUCUGGUGCCAGCAGCCGCGGUAAUUCCAGCUCCAAUAGCGUAUAUUAAAGUUGUUGUGGUUAAAAAGCUCGUAGUUGAACCUUGGGCCUGGCUGGCCGGUCCGCCUCACCGCGUGUACUGGUCCGGCCGGGCCUUUCCCUCUGUGGAACCCCAUGCUCUUCACUGGGUGUGGCGGGGAAACAGGACUUUUACUUUGAAAAAAUUAGAGUGCUCCAGGCAGGCCUUUGCUCGAAUACAUUAGCAUGGAAUAAUAAAAUAGGACGUGUGGUUCUAUUUUGUUGGUUUCUAGGACCGCCGUAAUGAUUAAUAGGGACAGUCGGGGGCAUCAGUAUUCAAUUGUCAGAGGUGAAAUUCUUGGAUUUAUUGAAGACUAACUACUGCGAAAGCAUUUGCCAAGGAUGUUUUCAUUAAUCAGGAACGAAAGUUAGGGGAUCGAAGACGAUCAGAUACCGUCGUAGUCUUAACCAUAAACUAUGCCGACUAGGGAUCGGACGAUGUUAACAAUUGACUCGUUCGGCACCUUACGAGAAAUCAAAGUGCUUGGGCUCCAGGGGGAGUAUGGUCGCAAGGCUGAAACUUAAAGAAAUUGACGGAAGGGCACCACCAGGGGUGGAGCCUGCGGCUUAAUUUGACUCAACACGGGGAAACUCACCAGGUCCAGACACAAUGAGGAUUGACAGAUUGAGAGCUCUUUCUUGAUUUUGUGGGUGGUGGUGCAUGGCCGUUCUUAGUUGGUGGAGUGAUUUGUCUGCUUAAUUGCGAUAACGAACGAGACCUUAACCUGCUAACUAGCCCGUAUUGCUUUGGCAGUACGCUGGCUUCUUAGAGGGACUAUCGGCUCAAGCCGAUGGAAGUUUGAGGCAAUAACAGGUCUGUGAUGCCCUUAGAUGUUCUGGGCCGCACGCGCGCUACACUGACGGAGCCAGCGAGUACUCCCUUGACCGAAAGGUCUGGGUAAUCUUGUUAAACUCCGUCGUGCUGGGGAUAGAGCAUUGCAAUUAUUGCUCUUCAACGAGGAAUCCCUAGUAAGCGCAAGUCAUCAGCUUGCGUUGAUUACGUCCCUGCCCUUUGUACACACCGCCCGUCGCUACUACCGAUUGAAUGGCUCAGUGAGGCGUUGGGACUGGCCCAGAGAGGUGGGCAACUACCACUCAGGGCCGGAAACUUCUCCAAACUCGGUCAUUUAGAGGAAGUAAAAGUCGUAACAAGGUCUCCGUUGGUGAACCAGCGGAGGGAUCAUUAUCGAGUUUACAACUCCCAAACCAUUGUGAAUUUUACCUUUUCGUUGCUUCGGCAGGAUUGCCCCGGGCGCUUCGGUGCCCCGGAUUCAGGCGCCUGCCGGGGGACCUAAACUCUUGUAUUAUAGUGAAUUUCUGAGUGGAUUACACAAAUAAUCAAAACUUUCAACAACGGAUCUCUUGGUUCUGGCAUCGAUGAAGAACGCAGCGAAAUGCGAAAAGUAAUGUGAAUUGCAGAAUUCAGUGAAUCAUCGAAUCUUUGAACGCACAUUGCGCCCGCCAGUAUUCUGGCGGGCAUGCCUGUCUGAGCGUCAUUUCAACCCUCAUGCCCCAGCGGUGUGGUGUUGGGGAUCGGCCUGAGCUAACGCCCGGGCCGUCCCCUAAAUCUAGUGGCGGACUCGCUGUAGCCUCCUCUGCGUAGUAGUGAUAUUUCGCACCGGAGAGCGGCGAGCCCCUGCCGUAAAACCCCAACUUCUAAGGUUGACCUCAGAUCAGGUAGGAAUACCCGCUGAACUUAAGCAUAUCAAUAAGCGGAGGAAAAGAAACCAACAGGGAUUGCCCUAGUAACGGCGAGUGAAGCGGCAACAGCUCAAAUUUGAAAUCUGGCGCAAGCCCGAGUUGUAAUUUGUAGAGGAUGUUUCUGGCGACGUACCUUCCGAGUUCCCUGGAACGGGACGCCAUAGAGGGUGAGAGCCCCGUACGGUUGGUUGCCUAGCCUUUGUGAAACUCCUUCGACGAGUCGAGUAGUUUGGGAAUGCUGCUCUAAAUGGGAGGUAUACGUCUUCUAAAGCUAAAUACCGGCCAGAGACCGAUAGCGCACAAGUAGAGUGAUCGAAAGAUGAAAAGCACUUUGAAAAGAGGGUUAAAUAGUACGUGAAAUUGUUGAAAGGGAAGCGUUUAUGACCAGACUUGGGUAGGUUGAUCAUCCGUGGUUCUCCGCGGUGCACUCUGCCUGCCUAGGCCAGCAUCAGUUCAGUUCGGGGGAUAAAGGCUUCGGGAAUGUAGCUCCCUCGGGAGUGUUAUAGACCGUUGCGUAAUACCCUGAUCUGGACUGAGGUUCGCGCACUGCAAGGAUGCUGGCGUAAUGGUCAUCAGCGACCCGUCUUGAAACACGGACCAAGGAGUCGUCUUCGUAUGCGAGUGUUCGGGUGUCAAACCCCUACGCGUAAUGAAAGUGAACGUAGGAGAGAGCUUCGGCGCAUCUCCGACCGAUCCUGAUGUUCUCGGAUGGAUUUGAGUAAGAGCAUACGGGGCCGGACCCGAAAGAAGGUGAACUAUGCCUGUAUAGGGUGAAGCCAGAGGAAACUCUGGUGGAGGCUCGCAGCGGUUCUGACGUGCAAAUCGAUCGUCAAAUAUGGGCAUGGGGGCGAAAGACUAAUCGAACCUUCUAGUAGCUGGUUUCCGCCGAAGUUUCCCUCAGGAUAGCAGUGUUGAUCUCAGUUUUAUGAGGUAAAGCGAAUGAUUAGGGACUCGGGGGCGCUAUAUAGCCUUCAUCCAUUCUCAAACUUUAAAUAUGUAAGAAGUCCUUGUUACUUAAUUGAACGUGGACAUUCGAAUGUAGCAACACUAGUGGGCCAUUUUUGGUAAGCAGAACUGGCGAUGCGGGAUGAACCGAACGCGAGGUUAAGGUGCCAGAGUAGACGCUCAUCAGACACCACAAAAGGUGUUAGUACAUCUUGACAGCAGGACGGUGGCCAUGGAAGUCGGAAUCCGCUAAGGACUGUGUAACAACUCACCUGCCGAAUGUACUAGCCCUGAAAAUGGAUGGCGCUCAAGCGUCUCACCCAUACCUCGCCCUCAGGGUAGAAACGAUGCCCUGAGGAGUAGGCGGACGUGGAGGUCGUGACGAAGCCUAGGGCGUGAGCCCGGGUUGAACGGCCUCUAGUGCAGAUCUUGGUGGUAGUAGCAAAUACUUCAAUGAGAACUUGAAGGACCGAAGUGGGGAAAGGUUCCAUGUGAACAGCGGUUGGACGUGGGUUAGUCGAUCCUAAGCUAUAGGGAAGUUCCGUUUCAAAGGCGCACUUUGCGCCGUAUAGCGAAAGGGAAGCCGGUCAAUAUUCCGGCACCUGGAUGUGGGUUUUGCGCGGCAACGCAACUGAACGCGGAGACGACGGCGGGGGCCCCGGGCAGAGUUCUCUUUUCUUCUUAACAGUCUAUCACCCUGAAAUCGGUUUGUCCGGAGCUAGGGUUUAAUGGCUGGAAGAGCCCAGCACCUCUGCUGGGUCCGGUGCGCUCUCGACGUCCCUUGAAAAUCCGCGGGAAGGAAUAAUUCUCACGCCAGGUCGUACUCAUAACCGCAGCAGGUCUCCAAGGUGAACAGCCUCUGGUUGAUAGAACAAUGUAGAUAAGGGAAGUCGGCAAAAUAGAUCCGUAACUUCGGGAUAAGGAUUGGCUCUAAGGGUUGGGUACGUUGGGCUUUGGAAGGACGCCUCGGGAGCAGGCAGCCACUAGCCGGGCAACCGGCCGGCGGCAGCCAGCACCUGGGUGCUGAUGUCCUUAGCAGGCUUCGGCCGUCCGGCGUACGGUUAACAACCAACUUAGAACUGGUACGGACAAGGGGAAU
rnacentral:rRNA from 1 species